ensembl:lncRNA
ACCUCUCCUUCUCACCCUCAUUUAAAGGUUAGCAGCUGAAGAAGCAGUAUUUCUUUGGCUAGAGAUUACCUCUUCUUGAGCUGUCACUUCCUGUUAGAAGAGUAAAGCUUCCUCAUCUACUUGUCUUCCUCUGAAAUUCCUUUGUUACUGCCCUUUCUUCUAGAACUACAAACACAAAUGCCUACGUCUUUUUGUUCCCCAGGAUUCCAAUCUUGGAGAUUUAAUCAAAUAACAAACUCCAAGGCUCCAUUUCUUUUCUAUCUGUGCAUGAGAACACACUCUUCUGGAGAACUUAAACUUUAGCCUUUAUAGAAAUAUUUUGCUAUGGUUAUUUAAAAACUGGAAAGUACAGUUAUAUUGGACUUUCCCUAAUCAAACACAAACCAGAGAUAUGAAAUGAAAUGGAACAUCAAGGAGGUGGAAAUAUGGGCACAGAAACAAAGAGGACAUCAGCAGAGUUUCACUUCCUCUUCAUCUUUAUUUAAAAUGAGAAAUAAUUAUCCUCUCAUUUCUUUUAAACUGUUGAAAGCAUAAAUGUAUUGCGCUAUACUGAUAAACGGGAGAAUCUGAUCUGUCAAGCAGCUGUGCUUGCUCUCUUUUUCAGUUUGCAUGUUUGAGUAUCUGGCAAAAUGUAAGUAAACAGUAAUGAAGAGAAAUCUGGCAAGCUGGGCUUUGGUCAUUCCCCAUUCCUUGGUGUAUAUAUGUUGCAUUUUGUAGGGGUUCGAGUUUCACUUCCACAUCUGUGAAGGAGGAUGUUAUAUCAGACAGCUUGUAAAGAAUAAUUUGAACAUAUCCUUUAAAACAGAAAAGCUGGGCUAAAAUUACUGUGUAUUUUGUACUGCAGAUUAUUCCACAUCAUAACAUCAUGCAGUGUACUGGGAGUUAGAGAGCAAAUGCUCUAGUUCUGGGUGCUUGUCCAGAAGAGAAGAACUACGUUCCCCAGAAGACUGUUUGAGUACUGUUAUCAUUCCUGCUCAGGGGAACAGAUAUAUGGCCUGUAGGUCACCUGACCUGUGUCCUCUUCCCUUUCUUCUUAUCUCAUGCUCGCUUGCGGAUCGUCUCACUGCUGCUCCCGACUGCAUGCAAGGCUUCAGUAUUAGUUGACAGCCUGGAUAUUGUACAGCAUUUUCAUCUGAAGCAGAGUGAACUCACCACAAAACGGUAACAUCUCUAAAGUUUGCACCAUCAUCUCAUCUGAAGCAUGAUGUACCAUAAAACACAUGGAGCAUUUCUGUCAAAAUUUUCAUGUAAACACUUGGAAUGAGACUGUACCUGGGCUCAGAAAUCUCCUCAUGUGGAAGAAGAAAAAGCAAAAAAAAUCUACUGCUGGAGCACUGACUGUGGCAAACAGAAGACACUGUGUAAUAGCUUCAGCUGCUCAGUGGUGUGGUGAUGAUAUCUUCUGUCUUAUUAUGGCUGCUUGGAUGCUUCAAAGAAAGAUCACCUUAAAGGUUUCUAAAACUGUAUCUUUUAUAGCAGAUGUGUGAAGGGAUGUGCAAAUCAAAGGGCUUCUGUCAUUUCUGGCUGAAGUCCAAACAUCUUGGAACAACUCAGCAGAGAGUUUGAAUUGCUCACUCCAUCAUCUAUAGUGGAAUAAGUCUAAUAAUCAGAAUUCUUCUGAAGUGAUCAAAAAUUUAUGCCUAGGCAGGCUUACAGUGUUAGAGAUGCAUACUAUGUAUUAGGAGUUAAAACAUCACAUUUGAGUAUUUCUGCCAAAAUUUUUGUCUGUUUCUGCUAUAAUUUCAGGAGAACUUGGUGGCAGCUAUUAAGGUUAGUGAGUUACUGUAAAUAAGUUGUUUGAGUACAUUUGCAUUGGAAGAAUAUUCAGUGAAAUUAGGGUCAGUGUUAUAGACAGUAGAACACUUUGGCAAAUCUAACAAGGAAUUUAAAAGUUAAUAAAGCAGAAAUGUAUGUAUCUCACCCUUAUGUCCCUAUAAUAAAUAAAUCUCAUCAUUUAAGAGAAAAUCUUCCAUUUGAACUAAAAGAAAUUGUAUUCAUUUGUUAAAGAAUUAUUGAUGUUUCUUGUGGAAAAACUGAUAACAAACUGGCAAGAGUUGCUGUAUUCAGAUAAAUCUUAGCCAAAUGUUUCUUUGACCAGUAUAUCCUUUCUACGGUUUGUGAAUGGCUUGACAGUCAAAGGCACAGUUUUCUUCCACUUCUCUUCAAAAAUAUUAUCUCUUUAUGUUCUUCAAAUAUCAAAGCACGGCUUUGUUGAAGUGGAGGAAAAUACUGCUUGCCUUGAUUGCAGCUGGGGAGAUCCUGACCAGAAAGGAAGAACAGAUAUUUGGCACAUAGCCUUUGAAAAUAUGAAAGGUGGGAACUGAGAGGAGGGCAGGCAGGCAGGUGGGAAAGGGCUGAGGCAUUAACAUCGCACUGCACAAGUGGAAGGAUGCUUCAUACCAAGCAGAACUUAACAGGAGGCUGCUGUGGUCUUUGCCUCCACUGUCCGUAGUAAAUUUGCACCUAGUGUGUAUUUUCUGUUACAUCAGCAUGCAAAUGUAAUGAACAAUAUUAAUAAGCUUCAAAGGUCAUCCUCCUCUCUACUUAUGACAAGAACUGUUUCAUCAAUUGUCCAUUCGGUUAUAGCAGCCUCCACAGAUUAUUCAGGCAAGGAAAAUAAUUUUUUUUUUCAUUUGUGUUUUUGGAUUUAUCUGCCCACUCCUCUGUCCAAGUUUCAUAACACACUGGGGCAAGAAUUCAACAUCUGAAUUACAGGAAAAUUAAGCAUGCAGUCCUGUUUUUGUUUCUGCUAUGUGUGUGUGGUUUUUUUUUUUAAUGUAAUGCAUAAUCACAUCAUUAAAUAAGAUUUGAUAGUAUUAAUGUCAGGCAUCCCCUAUGAGACCUUUUGCUUUUCAAGUUGCCUUCGAUACCAAUAAAAAUACUCUAGCAAACACUUGCUAAAAUGUAAUUUUCAUGUGCUUACUUCUGCAUUUCAAACCCAAACAUGACAAGCAGUUUCCUUUCAGCAUUAGUAUCUGUUCUGGGUUUAUUUACAAUCUGUUGAGAACAACAACAACAAAAAAUUCAGUGUGAGUUUCUUUAUCUUAAAUAGUGGACAACAGAGCUAAUAUCUAAAACUAUCUAUUAGCAUGUCAGUUGAAGUGAUAUCAUACUCCCCCAGAAUAGUAGGUCUACUUUGAACAAGACUGUGAUUUAUGAUUCAGAAUCUCAAUAACUAUCUUUCUAAGCCAGUAAAGAUGACAUCUGGGUAGAACAGAUCUAGACCUAUUCAAACCACAUAGAUUUUACUAUUUAUAAAUUCAAAUUAUCUGUUUUCAACAUUGAAAGAGUGUUUCAGAAUGACUAAAAGGAACUGAUCAAUAGUGUACAACAGGCUAACUUAACCACAGGCUUCAUUGGCAACAUGCAAGAGAGAAUUUCUAAAUGUAGCAAUUUAGAAAACUGGUGGUUAGCCUUUGUUCAUCUUGUAUUUGGUGUGAACUAGGAAAUAAACUCAGCUAAAUAUAAAUGAUAGCUCUUAUAUGGCAGUUCCCUAUAAAUUUUUUUAAUAUUAAUCAUUAUAUUCCUGUAAAAAAUAAGAACUGUAAAGGCACUUGAAUUUAGAUUUUUAGUUGAAGCUUUAAGAGCUGUGGGUUUUGUCACAUACAGAAUUAAAAAAGGCAACAGAAGUCUCCUUGCACGCUGGAAGUCAGCUUGAUUAAAACUGAAGCUGCAGAAGCCAAAAGGGCAAAACUUUCACUGACUUCAACUGUGAAGAGAAAAAUACCCAGGAAGAACUUUUCGAUGCUAUUGCAAAUAUGGCACAAAUGUAGGAAUUGCAUGACCUGAGAUCUGGCUUAGAUUAUUUGAGAGUUUUCUUUUUCCUCUGUUUUUUUACUUGACUACACCCCAGAAUUCCUGUUCAUCUCAUUUUAAUGUGCUUGCCACAGCGUUCUCCCCACCCCCCCUCCAAAAAAAAAAAAAUACAAACUUUGGUGACGUGUACAGUGUGAUCAACUUCUGAAGUUUAAGUAGAAGUAGCAUUUCAUAAUAGGUGAACUGAAAAAACUUGCACUGAAUUUACUAAUACAAACUGUUGACUCAUUCUAUUAGCUUUGCAUGGGGCUUAGCUAUUGAAUCAAACUGCAUACGCCGCUGUGCUAAGAAGCUUGAAGUGUCUCGUUGACCAUUGCUUUUCAGGAGAGGGAAGCUGCCUCACUGAAAUCAACCACUGUCUUCAGUAAGGACAGAUUUUUCUUCUGGAAGAGUCAUAGUCAUUUCCAGAAGUGAUGAAUAAUGUAGUACUGUAAUACUUUUUUUUUUUUUUUUUUGUCAGUAAAUGGACACUUAGUGUACAUAAUUGUAUUUCCUUAGUAUUGUUUAUCUUAAGCUCAAGAUGUGUAAUUCAUUUAGUGUUUUAUAAAUUGUUCUUUUGAAAUUGUGCCAGAUAUUAGAACAAAAAUUGGAAUGACCAUAGUAUUAUUCUUUAAUAUGGAGCACACAUAUAAACAGAAAGAACUGACUUGAAAUAAUUCAGACUUAUUAUAAAUAAGCACUGAAAAGUGCAGAUGUGAAAAAUAUAACUAUAUGAUUAAUUAUCCAGAAAAAUAAAGUGAACGCAUGCUAUAAACAAAUUAAAUGCAAACUUGCUCAUAGAAAAAGCAUGUUUUCUCUGUCCAAAACUAGAUUUAAUUUCUACUGAUAAUUAGAAACUCUGCUAAUAAUAAUACUGAACACUAAAUAUUCCUAUAAAAUAUUUAAUUUAGGAUAAGAUUUGAAAUACAGGGAGCUGCAAAUACUUCUUAUUUCUUUUAGUAGCGUGUGCUUCAGCAGUUUUCAGAUAUGCUGUCUUCUAGAAUGCUAUAUCUUCUAGAUGGCACCAGCCUUGUGAUACUUCUGAUCUAUUUUGGUUUUGAAACCUUUCCAGGUUAUUUGGAGUAUUUACAUCUCUUGCACCAAAUGUAAAUGAACUUACUACAUGAUCAAAUUUCAUCAGAAUAAUAAAUUAUCCUAGUUUAUUCCUUAUGCUGUAAGCAUGCAUCCUUGAGACUUUCAAUGUGUAGUUUAUGGAAAAUACUGCUUUUAAUUAAAAAGAAAUUUAAUUACACCAAAGGUUCUGUGUGUCACGCUCAUUGAGUACUAGACCUUGUCACUAGGUUAAUGGUAAAAAUAGAAUAAGGUCAAUUAAAUGUUUAUAAGGUAGGUUUUUAUUUUAAAAGCCAAGUGAAUGUAAGUUUUUUUUAUUAUUCUCAGAAAUCUUGUUUGUUGCAUCAAUCCAAGGAUGCUAUGGUCAGUUCAUCGGUGCGUGUUCUGUGCACAACAUAUUGUAUCUCCUUUUCCUUCUUUGUAGGUUCGCUACUCAAGGAGACCUUUGAGUAACCAGUAAUUUAGUGCAUGUCUACCAACGUGAAAGAGGAUCUCAAACUACUUUAGGCACUCACUUUUGUUGUUUUUUUAUGUUCACAGUAAUAUCCAUAGAACAUGCUCAUUAUAAAUAAUAGAACGGUAUUGCGUAUUUUAUUUUAAUUACAAUCGUAUUUAU